rnacentral:rRNA from 1 species
AUUGAACGCUGGCGGCAGGCCUAACACAUGCAAGUCGAGCGGUAGAGAGAAGCUUGCUUCUCUUGAGAGCGGCGGACGGGUGAGUAAUGCCUAGGAAUCUGCCUGGUAGUGGGGGAUAACGUUCGGAAACGGACGCUAAUACCGCAUACGUCCUACGGGAGAAAGCAGGGGACCUUCGGGCCUUGCGCUAUCAGAUGAGCCUAGGUCGGAUUAGCUAGUUGGUGGGGUAAUGGCUCACCAAGGCGACGAUCCGUAACUGGUCUGAGAGGAUGAUCAGUCACACUGGAACUGAGACACGGUCCAGACUCCUACGGGAGGCAGCAGUGGGGAAUAUUGGACAAUGGGCGAAGGCCUGAUCCAGCCAUGCCGCGUGUGUGAAGAAGGUCUUCGGAUUGUAAAGCACUUUAAGUUGGGAGGAAGGGCAGUAAAUUAAUACUUUGCUGUUUUGACGUUACCGACAGAAUAAGCACCGGCUAACUCUGUG